rnacentral:rRNA from 1 species
GUGCACGCUGGCGGUAGGCCUAACACAUGCAAGUCGAACGGCAGCACAGUAAGAGCUUGCUCUUACGGGUGGCGAGUGGCGGACGGGUGAGGAAUACAUCGGAAUCUACUUUUUCGUGGGGGAUAACGUAGGGAAACUUACGCUAAUACCUCAUACUACCUACGGGUGAAAUCAGGGGAUCUUCUGACCUUGCGCGAUUGAAUGAGCCGAUGUCGGAUUAGCUAGUUGGCGGGGUAAAGGCCCACCAAGGCGACGAUCCGUAGCUGGUCUGAGAGGAUGAUCAGCCACACUGGAACUGAGACACGGUCCAGACUCCUACGGGAGGCAGCAGUGGGGAAUAUUGGACAAUGGGCGCAAGCCUGAUCCAGCCAUACCGCGUGGGUGAAGAAGGCCUUCGGGUUGUAAAGCCCUUUUGUUGGGAAAGAAAAGCAGCAGGUUAAUACCCCGCUGUUCUGACGGUACCCAAAGAAUAAGCACCGGCUAACUUCGUG